rnacentral:rRNA from 1 species
UACGUAGGGUGCGAGCGUUGUCCGGAAUUACUGGGCGUAAAGGGCUCGUGGGUGGUUUGUCGCGUUGUUCGUGAAAACUCACAGCUUAACUGUGGGCGUGCGGGCGAUACGGGCAGACUGGAGUACUGCAGGGGAGACUGGAAUUCCUGGUGUAGCGGUGGAAUGCGCAGAUAUCAGGAGGAACACCGGUGGCGAAGGCGGGUCUCUGGGCAGUAACUGACGCUGAGGAGCGAAAGCGUGGGGAGCGAACAGG